rnacentral:rRNA from 1 species
UACGUAGGGGCCGAGCGUUGUCCGGAGUUAUUGGGCGUAAAGCGCGCGCAGGCGGCCUCGCGCGCCCGACGUGAAAGCCCCCGGCUUAACCGGGGAGAGUCGUUGGGGACGGCGGGGCUUGAGGGCGGGAGAGGCGUGUGGAAUUCCGGGUGUAGUGGUGAAAUGCGUAGAGAUCCGGAGGAACACCAGUGGCGAAGGCGACACGCUGGGCCGUACCUGACACUGAUGCGCGACAGCAUGGGGAGCAAACAGG